ACGCUGACAGAAUGCUUAACACAUGCAGGUCUUUGGCGAAUCUGUGCUUGCACAGGCUAGCCAAGGCGGACGGGUGAGUAACGCGUAAAGAACUUGCCCUGCAGACAGGGAUAACAGACGGGAACGACUGACAACACCUGAUACAGUUGCCGGCACGCAUGUGCCUGGCAAUGAAAAGAGAUGCUGCGGGAGAGCUUUGCGUCCUAUUAGCUUGUUGGCGGGGUAACGGCCCACCAAGGCGAUGAUAGGUAGCCGGCCUGAGAGGGUGAACGGCCACAAGGGGACAGAGAUACGGCCCUUACUCCUACGGGAGGCAGCAGUGGGGAAUAUUGGACAAUGGGGGCAACCCUGAUCCAGCAAUUCUGUGUGCACGAUGAAGGUUUUCGGAUUGUAAAGUGCUUUCAGCAGGGAAGAAGGAAGUGACGGUACCUGCAGAAGAAGCGACGGCUAAAUACGUGCCAGCAGCCGCGGUAAUACGUAUGUCGCAAGCGUUAUCCGGAAUUAUUGGGCAUAAAGGGCAUCUAGGCGGCCAGACAAGUCUGGGGUGAAAACUUGCGGCUCAACCGCAAGCCUGCCCUGGAAACUGCCUGGCUAGAGUGCUGGAGAGGUGGACGGAACUGCACGAGUAGAGGUGAAAUUCGUAGAUAUGUGCAGGAAUGCCGAUGAUGAAGAUAGUUCACUGGACGGCAACUGACGCUGAAGUGCGAAAGCUGGGGGAGCGAACAGGAUUAGAUACCCUGGUAGUCCCAGCCGUAAACGAUGAUUACUGGGUGUGGGCAUGAAGAGUGUCCGUGCCGAAGCAAAUGCGAUAAGUAAUCCGCCUGGGGAGUACGGCCGCAAGGCUGAAACUCAAAGGAAUUGACGGGGACCCGCACAAGCGGUGGAGCAUGUGGUUUAAUUCGACGCAACG
rnacentral:rRNA from 1 species